GAAAUGCACGCGGCGCACUUCGCGAGAGACCGCGGCGCCUUUUUAGAGGAGAAGUGCGAUGCCGACAGCACGGGCUUUCUUCACCUCCAAGGUGCAUGAAACGCAAAAUGAAGAAGAAAAUUUGAAUGACUGAGGAAGAAAGCUGUGUCCUUCUGAUCAUGACAGCUUGAACUGUACAAUUUGGUCAAAAAAGGUUAAGCCAAAGUAGUAAUUAUUUUCUGCCUCGAAAUUUUCGCCUCCAGAUAUCGCAAUUCUCAGAGAUUUUCUUUCGUCCUAUUUUAAAAGAAAAUUCUAAGACAAGAGCAAAAACAAGAUGACAUUUUCUACUGAAACACGUCGACCAGUUUUCUGUUGGAGAUCGCCAGCUGUGUGAAAAACUACUAUUUCGUUGGCUGAGCUGAGAAAAAAAGGCUGGAUUACAACGAAAUGCAUACUUCGAAAAGAUUCUUACCAAAAAAAGUGCAUUUAAAGAACACGUACUUUUAUGUUUCAGACAUUGCUUUUUCUAAUAUUACUCGUAUAUGCUUUUAUUAGCUGGUUAAGGUUUCAAACUGAGCUAACUAAGUUUCGUUGCUUUCUUCUUUUACAGGAAACCUAAUGACACUUAGAAUUCGUUUUCCUGUGAACGCUAGUGAAGCAAAUUUCAUCAAAACAAAGCUCAUAAAGUGAACUUUAUGCAAACUCAUGAACUGCAUGUAAACUUUGUAAUAUAAGUGAUGUGUUAGUUUUAAAAAUAAUGUGUCAAUUAAAUUUUCGUAUUUGCAUUGAGAAACUUGGUCGUUAUUAUUAUUCUAAUGAUGCAUUAUAAGCUAAAUUUAAGACAAUCUUGUGUAAUAUUUUAGAAAGAAACAUCUUUACUGAAUGAGUAAUGUUUCUCUUUUAUUUAUAAAUGUCUGUUUUGAAUUAGUUUAAAAUGUAAUGCUGUUACCUGACGUCAAAAAAAAAAAGCGUUGAAAAAUAAAUUAUGUAGUCAGGAUUUUAUUUAUUAUUUACGUGUUGUUGUUCUACUGCACAUGAAUACUCUGAUUUAUGCUAUAAAUAAAAGUAUUAAAAGACAGAA
rnacentral:lncRNA from 1 species